rnacentral:lncRNA from 1 species
AUAAGAUAAAGAGAGAACACCACUAAAUAAGAUGCACAUGUUUCAAUUAAAUUGGUCAAACAAACAAGGAAAAAUGAUCAAAGGCAACUCCAGGAACAUUUCUCUUAAUUAAACAGCAAUCAUCCUUCCCUCCUCCGUAGUCCAGGCUUGGGACCAGCUGAUUUAACAGGCGAAGUUACAAGGGUCACCUAAACACAAAAUGUAGCAACAAAUAAACCAAAUACUACAAAAGAAACCAUAAGGAGAACCACUGUUGGUGUCAAGCUGAGCACCAUAGAUCUAACUAGUUGAUUUAGUUAAAUGAGACAUUAGAAUAUACAUAAAUUGGAGUCAUAAUUGACAGAUUACAUGAAGUAUCUCUUCGAGCAGCCGAUAAAAGAAUGACCAAGACAUCCAUACAAACCAAGUUUAAUAUUUGGUACAGUACACUUUUACAAUAACCGCCUAUGUUUAAUAUAUCAAUCCUCUUAUUUCAUUUCAAUCGCCACCUAAGUACACUGACUGCUAAAGAGAUCUUAUAUGCUUAAUCCAAUAAAGCCAAAUGAGUAUAUGACUAGUUUGUAGUUAGUAAACAUGAAAUUUACAAUAAGGUUUCCUUAUCAUCCACAUCUAUUCUUUCUUUCAUAGGCUAUUUCUGAUCACUGUCAUUGGUUACUAUAGAUUUCACCAAAGUUGUUGUUCCUUCACCAGUGGAUAGGUUUCACUCUGCUCUGAAACUUGUUGUGCUUCAUGGAUUCAGUACUAUUUUAUCCCAAGAAAAAAUAGCAGUUUUAAAGAAGUUAUGUUCCAUUUUAGCAGCUAAAAUGUUCCAUAUCAGAGAUGUGAUCUACCAGAGCAACUUCCUUAAAGUUGAUAACUAUGCAAAAAAUGUAAAGAGCAUUUGAGAUCUGAGCUUUAGAAUGGCUUGAAGGAAUGAUCAUAUCAACUACAACAUAGCUAGAUCAUAUUGAACUAAAAAAAGGAACUCUACUAAAAUGCAACAAGAUAAGAUAGAUUAUACUAAAAAAGGAAAUUCAAACUGUGAGAAGCAGACUAGGCAGUGACUUACAACAGUAAAAAGAGUAUAAAAUUAUUGGGAUUGUCUAGAGUGGAUAUAGGUAAACUAUAGUGAAAAGGUAGGAGUGCCAUGGCAGACAAGUUGAGGAAAGCAAGGUUGAUGAUUCCAAUAUGUGAAAGAGUAGGAGGGGUAUGAGAUAGGCCAAAAAAGAAUCGAAGGAAGAGAUUAGAUACAAUAUGACACAAUUAGUGGAAGAGAUUAGAUAGGAUAUGUUACAACUUUAACUAACUGAGGACAUCACCCUAUAUACGAAGGAUAGACAUGAAGGAAUGGAGGUCGAGGAGUAGAGUAGAAGGCCAGUACAUAGUAUUUUUCUCAAAGUGUACUAAUAUUUGUUGUUACAAUUGUUUUGUUCUCUCUCUCACACUUUCUUGCUUUUUUUAGCCAAGGGUCCAUCAAAAAACAACCUUUCUUCGCCGCAAGGUAGAGAGACUACACUAUUUAUGUUGUAGCACUGGUAAACUUGGGGGAGUUGGGGGAGAGACCUCUUUGUGAUUCUGAAUGAGCCAAUUGCCUAACAUGGAAUACAGAGAACAACAUAUACAAGGAAAGACAUAGAAACUUGUACUAGUUCUCCCGAGGAGAGGAUGCAAGAAAAGAUGAUUUGCUGAAGGUACCAGAAAUAAAGUUUACUUCAUCACAAAUGAUUAUUGACAUACAACAACACAAACUACAUGUUUAUACCCUUAACAUCAUUACCUAGCAUAAACUAAAGCAGUGAAACCUUUGAAUGCCUCAAGGAACUAACAGACAUGAGAAUUUAUAGCAAAGGCAAAACUUCAAAAUAACUCUGCAAAUGCAAGAAUAGAUUCCCUUCGCCAUAAUCUCACCCUUCAUGUUUAGCUUCCAGUACAGGAGUCAAAGCAUUCAGCCGACGUUCUUUUCUGCAACUGAUAGAUCUGCACUCAUAGUCCAUACCACUAUGUGGAAAAAUAUAAAAACUUAAGGAUACAUAUACCCUAACAGAUCCAGACCUAUCCAAACUGUUAACACCCAAAAAUCAUCGACAAUCUCUGGUCAUCAAAACAAUGAACACAUACAACUAGUUGCAUAAUUGCAAAACCUUAAAAAAUCACCCUUAACCCCUCCGCCCAAACUUCCAACAGCUAUAACCAAGGUGUAGAAACCUGUAUUAGGAGAAAACUAAAGCCCACCCAGGAUUCAUGAACUGGUAGAAGAAAUGUACUCGAGUUGCCUGCCCUUAGGGAUAUUCAUAGAAGGUGUUGGGAUGAAUAGAUAAGUAGAGAUAUCAACUCUAAACCACCAAAGACUAGUUACAACUUUGCGAAAUAUGUAAGAUCAUGUAACAAAAAUCACCAGAACGUUCUUAUUAUCACACUAUGCAAGAACUGAUAGAAAUAUUGCAUACGUUUGACCCACUAUCAAUAUCUCUAACCAUCAAGCAGAGGCGGACAACCACCAGAUCUACCCCCAUUAAAAGGAGGGUGAAGAAAGAAGGCAGGUCUAACUAAAACCUGAUCACACAAGAUUUCCAAGAGUACUCUAACCUGAACGCCUGAAAUCAUAGUCGACAGGGAGGGUCAAAGCAGAGUGUAAUGGACUCACAAAUAUAUAUACAAGGGAACAUGAUAAAAAUAGAAAACCCCUCUAUAUUCAUAUGAUAUCUAAAGUAGAAGUGCGGCAAGUGACUUGAAGAGCUAUACUCGAUAAAUUAAGACAAAGACAACAAUAUUUUUCAAAACUGUCUGAACUCUAUCUUGGGUUGGGCUUUUUAGAGAAUCCCCUUUUAAUUUGUGCAAGUUUCCUAAUCGAUCACCAAUACAAGAAAACGAAGGAACAAUUUCUGAAAGAAGAAAUGAACUAUUGAAAUCAACAGAACAAUAUUUCUCCACAAAAUAACCACAACUAAAAGCGCAGAAUGAACAUUUAAGUGAAAAGCUGGAAAAACUUAAAUCACUUAGGAAAUCACUAGAAUGAGCUAGACAAAAUUUACGAACCCCUUUUCCUCGAAGCCCUAAUGAUAUCCAGACUGUAGUGUUGCACCUAAAUGACCAACUUAGAUAAAACUCAAACUAGAGCAAUAAGCAACAUAAAAUCAAAGUAGAGAAGAUAAGCAACAAGAACAUCAAAGGUAGAUAAUCACUUUAUGGGGCUAUAAAAAGAUCCAGACUUGAGCAAGUAAUUAC